CUUGCCGAGGAGCGUUGCGACCCCGAUCAGAAAUUCGCGGGCCAGGCUCGGCAACCGAUCAACGGCGCUCACAAACC
rnacentral:ncRNA from 2 species